GAAAUUCGAUUAGUUAUAUGAGUAAAUAAAUACCGGAAAUAUUGUUCAUAUUCAUGUUUAUAUUUAUAAAUAUCGCUUUUAGGGUUAUAUUUGACACUUUAUAGAAUUGUUUAGCUAUGACCGCUGAAUAAAUUCUAGAUUAGACGUUGUUCUGCUUGAGUUUUCUCUCCAUAUUUCACUGUUUACCUUUUUGUAUCUGUGCUCGUUUGCUCACAAGUGAUUACUUUGUUUGAUCUAUAAAUUUGAGAUUAGAUUACACAACUUGUUCAAUUUUUCAGCUGUCUGAUGUUUACUAAUUACUAGUUGCAAAAGUUAAAGGGAUAAAAACUACCAUGCUAACUGAAGGCGAUUGUUUGAUGAGCAAAAUCAACGGAUUACGAAGAAACAAAUAUUAUAACUUAUUUAUAUAAUUAAAAGAACUCGAAUGGCAGACCGUAACUAAUACAUUAAAGUAGAAAUAAAAUGUUUAGGAGUAGUAGUUAAUAAAAUUUUAUGGAACAUAUUCUGUUUGUGUGCCUGAGUUAAUUGAAAAGGUAUCUUUAUUAGACGUACUUACUAUCAUUUUCUGAUAGAAGUAUAUAUAUGAAGGACUACACAAGCAAGCCGCCAUGUUUUUCCCUCGGUGGAUUUAAUAACAAUAAGAAAAUCAGAGUUGCUCAAGUUGUUCUGUGUUGAAGUCACUUGGUUGUGGAACUGGUCAAUGGGAAAGACUUUAGUCUUCUUUGGUCUGAGAAAACAGUCUUUCCUUGAUCAAAUUGUGAACUAUUUACUGUUACAGUUAUGUUUGCACCUGCUGUAGUUUCGUGGGAAUUUCUUUAUAAAUUGGAGUUGUCAUUCACUGAAUACUCGCAAUGCUAUAUCAAGUUUUUUUUCCUGCUUCAGUUUGUAGUAGAUAGAGCUUAUUUGAUUCUCAGUAAGGAAUUGAAAUAAUCUUCUGAACGGACUCCAUAUGCUUCCAAGGAACCAAUAGAGAAAACAAUCAGGGGAAACUUUUAGUGAUGUAUCAACUGUCUGAACUUAUGUUUUCAUUAUGGCUUACUAUUGUUACCUAUUCAGGCUUUCACUUAAUAUUAAUCUAUCUUAACUUAUUUUUUUGUACUUCUUACGAAUUAGAUAUAUCAGUAAAAGCACAAAUAGAUCUAGAACUGUCAGAGUUGGCUCCAACAAUCUUAUAUGUUAUAUCAACCAGUUAUUUAGCCUAAUCUUGUUGUUUCAAUUUCAGUAUUGAUGGUUACCAUUGAUCUUUUGUUGCAGAUUUUGAAUUUUUAAGGUUGAGUUAUUAAUAGUACUCUCUACUUUGCAGUUUUGAUGCACGUUAAAUAUGAAGUAUAUGUCUUUAUAUUAUUACUAUUGUUAUAUUUUUUUAACCAAUAACAACUUGAUAAUUUUAUGCCAAAGAAUAAAACAACCGAAUUUGCAUCUUUAGUUCCACCAGUGUUAGCAUGUAAAAUAAAUUCUUAUGUGCUUCUAUAGUACAUUCAAUUUCUUUGCCACGAGGAAAACCUUCAUCCUACCAAUAAAUACGAUUCAACAGUUACUUUGCUUUGUUUAUCAGUAAGUGCCAAAGCUGUUCUUAUGCCUUUCUAAGGGUGUGCGGGAGUGCGUAUGAGACUGGUGUGGUGUGUCUGAGGAGUAAAGAUGAGUGAGUGACAAUGAGAAUGAAUGAGCGCGAGAGGGUGUGAGUGUACGUGCGUGUCCCCACAAUGAAUGAAUAGUUUGUAACAAAUUGUUAGAGCAUAUUUCAGUUAUUUCCUUUCUUUUCACUCCCUUCUCACUAUUUUCUGAGAAAGCUGUUGUUGUUAUUUUAAGGAAAUUGGUUUUACCAAUUAAUUAUUCUGACAAAAUGGGAGUGGCACAUCGUGAUAUAAAACCAGAUAACAUCUUGUUUGCUUCCCAGGUAGAACAUGUUUCCAUUAUUUUUUUAUUACGUUACAACCACUUUUCUUUUUAACUCCCAAUUUCUUUUAUUUUUAGAUGUUCGUGUUAUUUCCUAUUCACAAGUUUUAGUUUCUUUAUUACUAUUUUUUACUGCAUAUCCACAUAUUUGGUCUGCUAAUAGAGUUUACUAUAGUGAUCUUCUUUCUUGUCUUUACCAUUCAUCUUAAUAUUUUUGCGAGUAUUUUGAAUGCACAAUGUGUUGAAGUUGAUGCUAACCAUGACUACAACUUAUUUCUGCCUUUCUAGAAUUGCUAACGCUUCUGUUACAUUUUGGUCCAACAAAAAAAGUUGCUCGACGUGCUUACAGGUAACCAACUAUCUUAUCUUUAUAUAUUUGUAAACGCAGGCUCUUAUUAGCACAUCCUCUAUUUCUCCUGCCCGUUGUACUACUAACCGUUAAUGUUGCGCCUCGUUUUUGUUUCUACAAGUUGUGGUACUGUAUUUAUCUGCAAUGUUGUUUGACGAUAGCUGCUGUUGGUGGUCACAGCAGGUGUCACGUAUAUCAAAGUGCGGUACCUUUUUGUGCUUCUACAUACUCGCUAAUAUAAAUUGAUAUCUUGCUAAAGGGUUGUGUGACAGUUUGCACAACUUCAUUUAGGAGUAAAUACUACGACUGUGAUAGAUCAUACACAAAAAAAUAAAUGUCCCCUCUCAGAGACAGAUAGAAAUGUCAGUCGACGUGAAAAAUACAAAGAGAUGGCAGUAGAGAAAAAGCAAAAUUUAUUGCUACAAUGUCGACUAAAAUACCAAGAGUCAAAGAGACAUACGCUUUUUGAGAAUAUAACUACUCUUCCCUUGAUUGGAACAAUGGCUGGUAAAGAAAGAGAUGAAACAAGUCCAUUUUCUGUUUAUUAAAAAGGUGUGAUUCCGAGCUAUAUAGAUGUUAUGGAAUGAAUUUAAGUGAUUUGAAGCUUUGAAGUCUGAGUAAAAGCUCAAGGAAUUAAUCUGGGAUCGUGUUCGGGGGUCAAAUUUGAUAGUUGAGAACAAACGAAGACUCGAUGAGGCAUAUUACGCACUGUCUAGUAAACUGCACAUAACCUUUUACUCAGAAUUCCAUUUUGGCUCCAUAAUAUAUGGUUGGAAAUACAACUCAAAGGGAUACAACUUUCAUGAUUUGAGUUUUUCCAAAUUCCAAGCUGAACAGGAUGAAAAAUCGCGGUUUCACCGCGACCGCGGCAGAACCGCGGCACAGUGCAGACGCAGACAAUUGAAGAAUCAGAGGCCAUGUUUGGCCGCGGUUUGACCGCGACCGCGGUAGAACCGCGGCAGGAGGCGGAAAUUUCAGGGACUAAAGUGCAAAACACGGGAUUUUUAGCCCAAAACCUUAUUUUAAACACCAGACUCCGCCCAAGAGAGGCAUGUAUUGUUUUGGAGAGUAUUUUUGGAAGAAGAACAAGUGUGAGAGAUCA